GUGGGGAAUAUUGGUCAAUGGGCGGGAGCCUGAACCAGCCAAGUCGCGUGAAGGAAGAAGGAUCUAUGGUUCGUAAACUUCUUUUGCAGGGGAAUAAAGUGCAGGACGUGUCCUGUUUUGUAUGUACCCUGAGAAUAAGGAUCGGCUAACUCCGUGCCAGCAGCCGCGGUAAUACGGAGGAUCCGAGCGUUAUCCGGAUUUAUUGGGUUUAAAGGGUGCGUAGGUGGUUUGAUAAGUCAGCGGUGAAAGUUUGCAGCUUAACUGUAAAAAUGCCGUUGAAACUGUCGGACUUGAGUGUAAAUGAGGUAGGCGGAAUGCGUGGUGUAGCGGUGAAAUGCAUAGAUAUCACGCAGAACUCCGAUUGCGAAGGCAGCUUACUAAGCUACAACUGACACUGAAGCACGAAAGCGUGGGGAUCAAACAGGAUUAGAAACCCCUGUAGUCC
rnacentral:rRNA from 1 species